GCAGAGAGGAUGACAGAGAACAGUGGACACACAGUUUAACAUGAUGGACUAUAGGACAGGACUGCUGCUUCUAACUCUCUGCUGGGCAGGUGUUGAUGGUCAGACUCUGACACAAUCUGAACCAGUGGUUAAAAGACCUGGAGAAUCCCACAGACUGACCUGUACAGGCUCUGGAUUCACAUUCAGUGACCACUGGAUGGGCUGGGUCAGACAGGCUCCUCGAAAAGGACCAGAGUGGAUUUCCUUUAUCAGUAGUGGUGAUGGCAGCACCACUCACUACUCUCAGUCAGUCCAAGGCCGGUUUACCAUCUCCAGAGACAACAGCAGAGAGCAGGUGUAUCUGCAGAUGAACAGUCUGAAGACUGAAGAUUCUGCUGUUUAUUAUUGUGCUCGAGACAUACACAGUGACUGGAGUUGGUUGAGCAGCUGUACAAAAUCCUACUUUACUCACCUUUCUGGCUGGUGAAGCCCAGGCAUUAAG